rnacentral:tRNA from 1 species
AUUCUGUAGGUCUGUCGCCAAGCGGUAAGGCAACGGGUUUUGAUCCCGUCAUACCCAGGUUCGAAUCCUGGCAGA